rnacentral:rRNA from 1 species
UGGGGAAUAUUGGACAAUGGGCGAAAGCCUGAUCCAGCCAUGCCGCGUGUGUGAAGAAGGUCUUCGGAUUGUAAAGCACUUUAAGUUGGGAGGAAGGGCAGUUACCUAAUACGUAUCUGUUUUGACGUUACCGACAGAAUAAGCACCGGCUAACUCUGUGCCAGCAGCCGCGGUAAUACAGAGGGUGCAAGCGUUAAUCGGAAUUACUGGGCGUAAAGCGCGCGUAGGUGGUUUGUUAAGUUGGAUGUGAAAUCCCCGGGCUCAACCUGGGAACUGCAUUCAAAACUGACAAGCUAGAGUAUGGUAGAGGGUGGUGGAAUUUCCUGUGUAGCGGUGAAAUGCGUAGAUAUAGGAAGGAACACCAGUGGCGAAGGCGACCACCUGGACUGAUACUGACACUGAGGUGCGAAAGCGUGGGGAGCAAACAGGAUUAGAUACCCGGGUAUUCCCUGAGCGGGCUGGCAAGGCGCAU